rnacentral:lncRNA from 1 species
CAGGGAGGGCCUGAAGGCUGGGGGCUGGGCUUCCAGUCCCACGGACUGGAGUGGGAACUCGUAGUGCCUCUUCUGGCCCGCCCAUGGCUGCCCGUGGACCAAUCAGCACGCACUUCCUCCCCUUUGAGUUCCAUAAAAGCCCUGGGCUCAGCCAGCGCAAGGCAGAAGACAGCAAGAGGACGACAAAGGUGGCGAGAUGAUGGGAGUGGGAUUCCAGCGGUGGGACGACAAGCUGCAGAGCAGUCCUUUUUUGCUGAGAACUUCAGAGACCUGCAGAGAGGUCAGAAUGACUUUCUUGCAGAGAUGAGUCACUUUCUCCAGGGAGGUCUCUUUGCUAAGACGCUGAACACUGGACUGGAUGACCGGCCUACAGAGAGGAACUACCCAUUUCUUUCUGCUUCUUGCCUACAAGCUUUCGAUGGCUCACAGCACCUAAGGAUAAGUGUUCUAAUCCUUCACCUGCCGUGUGAGGACUCUUCAUGUGUCAAUGUAGCUUUCCAACGUCACACCCAUCCUCUGUUUUAUUCAAGUAUUCCGUUCUUAAAGGAAUGAAAACUCUGACCUGUGACUACACAUUUAAUGUCCUGUUUCAUUUUCUUUGCUACUGUGAAAAUGUGGCAGACCCUGAAAUUUUGACACUCCACAGACAGUGCUCCUCAUCUGAUGUUAGCCUUUGUAAAUGUCAGUCCUACCUAGGUGCCUUCUUAUAAUAGUAGCUGGAUAAAUGGGUUCUCGGAUUAGAAUGAUCACUGAGAAUGAUUGAACUUAAUAAAAAGGCAAUGAUUGUACAGUCAACUUAGUAGUUACAUUCAGCAAACUGCAUGCCAGACAUUUGGGUAUAAAUGGAGACUUUGACUUCCUUCCACUCGGUAUCUACUGGUACUCACUGAUAACCUGAUCACUGUGGGUGUGAUGUCUUUACUGAUACCUGGACCCUUUUCUCCAGGCAUUUUUCCCAUUCUGUUGAUCCUGUUCUGUGAGCCCUUGUUAACAACAAAUCUUUAUCUUGGCAU